rnacentral:lncRNA from 1 species
UUGACUUUGGAUUCCUUUCUCUUCUCAGCCCAUUUCUACUUUACUUUAUAUUACUUUGAAAUGUCCAAUAGCAUGUCAUCGAAUAGAAUUCUGCAUCAAAAAAUAGUCAAAUAAUUUGUCCGUGUGAUCAAUUUUCAAAAGCAGCAGCAAUGGGUCCUUUAGUCUUUCUUCUUCUAGAAACUGUACAAUUAGCAGGAGCAGCCCUUGCCCCUUCUACUUUCGACUUUCCAUUUCUUUCUCUUUCCAGCCCUUUUCAACUUUCUUCUAUAAAUGUCCCUUACUUUGAAAUGCC